AGUAACGCGUGAGGAACCUGCCUCAAAGAGGGGGACAAUAGUUGGAAACGACUGCUAAUACCGCAUAAGCCCACGGCUCGGCAUCGAGCAGAGGGAAAAGGAGCAAUCCGCUUUGAGAUGGCCUCGCGUCCGAUUAGCUAGUUGGUGAGGUAACGGCCCACCAAGGCGACGAUCGGUAGCCGGACUGAGAGGUUGAACGGCCACAUUGGGACUGAGACACGGCCCAG
rnacentral:rRNA from 1 species